UGAGUAACACAGACAGUCGCAUCCAGCAUAUAUUUAAUAGCUGGCUGAGGAAAGUCCGGGCUCCAUAGGGCAGGAUGCCGGAUAACGUCCGGUGGAGGUGACUCCCAGGAUAGUGCAACAGAAAAUAACCGCCUGCCUUAAGGCAGGUAAGGGUGAAAAGGCAAGGUAAGAGCUUACCGCUUCCCUGGUAACAGGGCAAGGCUGUGUAAACCCCAUCCGGAGCAAGGCCAGACAGGGACAGUACAGUUGCCCGCUGUGUCCCGGGUAGGCUGCUUGAACCUGCUGGUAACAGCAGGUCUAGAUAGAUGAUUGUCUGAUACAGAACCCGGCUUACAGUGUUGCUCAUUAA
rnacentral:RNase_P_RNA from 1 species